rnacentral:misc_RNA from 1 species
AGAGACUGUGCUGCUGCGCGCAUUCACCCAGAAGACAGAGAGAAGCCCGCGCGCGACCCUCCAUCCCUCCCCUCUCUCUUCGCACACGUCCACAACGAGACACGGCAGCAACAGCUAAAAGGGGGAAGAAGGGAAACAACGCGGCCAUGACGGGCACUGAUGACGGCAGCGGCGGCGGCGAUGUGCACCACAGACACGCCUGCAUGAGAGCCACCGAAUGCUGUAGUGCAGGCGGCAAAGACCACAACGACAACCACCACAUACACACACACGCACGCAAAGGAGGAAACAGAAGAUGGUUAUGGAGAGAAAACGGUGGACUGGAAGGAAGCUUUUUCGGACGCUGUCGGCUGCGUCCCUCCCCCUCCCGCCCCUCUUCUUCUUCUUCGCCUCGCAGACGUGCGCUUGAUCGCCGGCAACGAAGCAGAGGCUCGCCGCACUGCCCCUAUGGGCGUAUCUGACUCGCCCCGUUACCUAUCAAAAUGUCUUUGUUGCGGUAUUGUCGUGCUGCCAUCCCGCUCUCUCCAUGCCUCUCUCCCUACCCCUCUCUCUCUCACCUCCUCGAUUGGUGUCAUUGAAUCCUUCUCGUGUACAUAAAACGUAG